AUUGAACGCUGGCGGCAUGCUUUACACAUGCAAGUCGAACGGCAGCACGGGCUUCGGCCUGGUGGCGAGUGGCGAACGGGUGAGUAAUACAUCGGAACGUACCCAGAAGUGGGGGAUAACGCAGCGAAAGUUGCGCUAAUACCGCAUACGUUCUACGGAAGAAAGUGGGGGAUCUUCGGACCUCAUGCUUUUGGAGCGGCCGAUGUCUGAUUAGCUAGUUGGUGGGGUAAAGGCUCACCAAGGCGACGAUCAGUAGCUGGUCUGAGAGGACGACCAGCCACACUGGAACUGAGACACGGUCCAGACUCCUACGGGAGGCAGCAGUGGGGAAUUUUGGACAAUGGGCGCAAGCCUGAUCCAGCAAUGCCGCGUGAGUGAAGAAGGCCUUCGGGUUGUAAAGCUCUUUUGUCAGGGAAGAAACGGUUGGGGCUAAUAUCCCCGG
rnacentral:rRNA from 1 species